GUACUUGCUUCGACAGCACAUAUACUAGAACUAGAAUUACAUAGAGAAGAUUAGCAUGUCUUCUGCACAAGAGUGACAUGAAAAUUUAUGAAGCAUUCCAUAUUUUU
ensembl:snRNA U6 U6 spliceosomal RNA